CUAAGGUUUCCAGAGUAAAGCUGAUCUGCUCUGGGUAAGUCGGGGCCUAAGGAGAGGUCGCAAGACGUAUCCGAUGGACAACAGGUUUAGAUUCCUGUACCGCAUAUAAACAGAACUGUGGGGACGCAUGUGGAAAGCAUAAGCCGGGAAUGGAAAGACCGGUACAAGCGAGGUAGGUGUGUGACAGGCAAAUCCGUCACAUAAGCCGAAGACGUGAUGUGGAGCGAAAUUAAGUAGUGAAGUAUGUGAGCCAUGUGCCGAGAAAAGCCGCUAUUGUUUUAUAUGUGCCCGUACCGUAAACCGACACAGGUGGAUGAGGAGAGAAUCCUAAGGCCGACGGAAGAAGCAUUGUUAAGGAAUUCGGCAAAAUGACCCCGUAACUUCGGGAGAAGGGGUGCCCACUGAAUGGUGGGCCGCAGAGAAUAGGCUCAAGCAACUGUUUAGCAAAAACACAGGUCUAUGCGAAACCGAAAGGUGAAGUAUAUGGGCUGACGCCUGCCCGGUGCUGGAAGGUUAAGAGGAGAGGUUAGCGCAAGCGAAGCUUUGAACUUAAGCCCCAGUAAACGGCGGCCGUAACAAUAACGGUCCUAAGGUAGCGAAAUUCCUUGUCGGGUAAGUUCCGACCCGCACGAAAGGCGUAAUGAUUUGAGCACUGUCUCGACAAUGCAUCCGGUGAAAUUGAAGUACCAGUGAAGAUGCUGGUUACCCGCGCCAGGACGGAAAGACCCCAUGGAGCUUUACUCCAGUUUGAUACUGGGAUUCGGUACUGCACGUACAGGAUAGGUGGGAGACUGAGAACUAUGGACGCCAGUCUGUAGGGAGUCGCUGUUGGGAUACCACCCCUGUAGUACUGGGUUUCUAACCAUCUGCCGUGAUCCGGCAGUGGGACAAUGUCAGGCGGGGAGUUUGACUGGGGCGGUCGCCUCCGAAAGGGUAUCGGAGGCGCUCAAAGGUUCCCUCAGAAUGGUCGGAAACCAUUUGAAGAGUGCAAAGGCAGAAGGGAGCUUGACUGCGACACCGACGGGUGGAGCAGGUACGAAAGUAGGACUUAGUGAUCCGGUGGUAUAAAGUGGGAUUGCCAUCGCUCAACGGAUAAAAGCUACCCUGGGAUAACAGGCUUAUCACUCCCAAGAGUUCACAUCGACGGAGUGGUUUGGCACCUCGAUGUCGGCUCAUCGCAUCCUGGGGCUGUAGCAGGUCCCAAGGGUUGGGCUGUUCGCCCAUUAAAGCGGUACGCGAGCUGGGUUCAGAACGUCGUGAGACAGUUCGGUCCCUAUCCGGCGCGGGCGGAGGAUAUUUGAGAGGAGCUGUCCUUAGUACGAGAGGACCGGGACGGGCGGACCACUGGUGUAUCUGUUGUCGACCAACGGCAUGGCAGAGUAGCCAAGUCUGGAAGGGAUAAACGCUGAAGGCAUCUAAGCGUGAAGCCCCCCUCAAGAUGAGAUAUCCCUCCUUCGGGAGUAAGACCCCUUGAAGACUACAAGGUAGAUAGGGCAGAGGUGGAAGUGUGGCAACACAUGGAGCUGACUGUUACUAAUAGGUCGAGGGCUUGGC
rnacentral:rRNA from 1 species